GGGGACGACCUGGUUUCGACGUGGGUUGCAAAGCAGCGCAGGGCAUACCGAGGGCUGGUUACCUCGUAAAUACACCCAGAAAAAACUUAACUGCAAACGAUAAAUCGUACGCACUGGCAGCUUAAUCGCUGCUAGCUCUAGAACACCUCGUCCCUGGGGUGGGCCGUCAAAAGCUCUGGAGUCAUUUACAGGGACUCGUCUGAUGCUGGGUUACUUAGCAUUCGACUAAAUAAUAGGUAACUCGCUUGUACACAGCGUGCACGUCCGCGUUGUACCGGUUAAAUUAAAUGGCAGUGCUAAGUAUGUAGAACUGUCUGUAGAGUGCUUGCGGACGCGGGUUCGAUUCCCGCCGUCUCCACCA
rfam:Janthinobacterium agaricidamnosum NBRC 102515 = DSM 9628, complete genome